GAUGAAGAACGUAGCGAAAUGCGAUACGUAAUGUGAAUUGCAGAAUUCAGUGAAUCAUCGAGUCUUUGAACGCACAUUGCGCCCCCUGGUAUUCCGGGGGGCAUGCCUGUCCGAGCGUCAUUGCUGCCCUCAAGCACGGCUUGUGUGUUGGGCCUCCGUCCUCCUCCCGGGGGACGGGCCCGAAAGGCAGCGGCGACACCGCGUCCGGUCCUCGAGCGUAUGGGGCUUCGUCACCCGCUCUUGUAGGCCCGGCCGGCGCUUGCCGACACAUCAAUCUUUUUUCCAGGUUGACCUCGGAUCAGGUAGGGAUACCCGCUGAACUUAAGAAUAUCAAUAAGCGGAGGA
rnacentral:misc_RNA from 1 species